UACGUAGGGUGCGAGCGUUAAUCGGAAUUACUGGGCGUAAAGCGUGCGCAGGCGGCUUCGCAAGUCAGACGUGAAAUCCCCGGGCUUAACCUGGGAAUGGCGUUUGAAACUACGGAGCUGGAGUGUGGCAGAGGGAGGUAGAAUUCCACGUGUAGCGGUGAAUGCGUAGAUAUGUGGAGGAAUACCGAUGGCGAAGGCAGCCUCCUGGGCCAACACUGACGCUCAUGCACGAAAGCGUGGGGAGCAAACAGG
rnacentral:rRNA from 1 species